ACGGCCGCCCAGCACCGCCCAGCCAGAGUGGGGAGGGUGCAAGGUUCGGUUCAGCGGCCAGAGAAGGACCCGGGCCCCGGGAAGACAGCCACGGGCUGGCAGACUGUUGAGACACUCAGGCAUCCAGAGACCUGCUGGGGACGUGGAGGCUCGCUCAGACCCUGUUGUAACAUCCUGAGAGGUGACCCGCACCCUGUCAGGGCAAGUGAGCGUCUCGGACCGGAACCAGAGAGGGUCAGUCGCUUCAUAGGAGUAUUAAGCAAACCAACAGUCAAAAAGGUCACUCUAUAGAAAUGGCAGCGAUGGUGAUCAGUGGCCCUGGUGGAACGUGGAGGUGACGCUAACACCUUCACGGCUACGGAUUUUCCUUAGCAGAGCUGUGGAGUGUGACAAUGGUGUUUGUGUCCAAACUAUCAAACGCCAUUAUCACACUAAAUAGCUACUGUUAGGCAAUCCUUCCGCUCAAUAAAUGCCUUGGCAUCUGUUUGGUAUGAGCAAGAAGGCCCGUCUCCUAGUGGUGUGUGUGCCCAGGCCAGAAGCACUGAGUAAAUUCAGACUCAUUUGUGCUCAUAACCGAUAUGUCAUCCGAACUUUGCCGCUCACAUGCUGUUGUUCAAUACUUGAGCUGAUGGUGAGUUCUCUUGUUUUCCGGAGUCAAUAAACAAUAUGGUGGUGUUCCCAGAACCCCCAG